rnacentral:rRNA from 1 species
UACGUAGGGGGCAAGCGUUGUCCGGAAUCAUUGGGCGUAAAGAGCGUGUAGGCGGCCCGAUAAGUCCGCCGUGAAAGUCCAGGGCUCAACCCUGGAAUGCCGGUGGAAACUGUCGGGCUGGAGUCCGGAAGAGGCGAGUGGAAUUCCUGGUGUAGCGGUGAAAUGCGCAGAUAUCAGGAGGAACACCAAUGGCGUAGGCAGCUCGCUGGGACGGUACUGACGCUGAGACGCGAAAGCGUGGGGAGCGAACAGG